rnacentral:pre_miRNA from 1 species
UUGUGGUCAUGGUCAUGAUCGUGAUCGUGAUCGUGGUCAUGGUCAUGAUCGUGGUCGUGGUCAUGAUCAUGUUCGUGAUCAUGGUCAUGCUGGCAG